rnacentral:rRNA from 1 species
UACGUAGGGGGCUAGCGUUAUCCGGAAUUACUGGGCGUAAAGGGUGCGUAGGUGGUUUCUUAAGUCAGAGGUGAAAGGCUACGGCUCAACCGUAGUAAGCCUUUGAAACUGGGAAACUUGAGUGCAGGAGAGGAGAGUGGAAUUCCUAGUGUAGCGGUGAAAUGCGUAGAUAUUAGGAGGAACACCAGUAGCGAAGGCGGCUCUCUGGACUGUAACUGACGCUGAGGCACGAAAGCGUGGGGAGCAAACAGGAUUAGAUACCCCGGUAGUCCCUGAGCGGG